ACUGGAAAAGAAGAUCAGAGAUGGAUCUUAAAAAUAAAUGUAGGUGUGACAGAAGAAGAGUUUUCUCUCAUCUCGCGCAUCCAAGCAUGUGCCAAGUGUUGCCACGGUAACCCAGAGUGAACGAUGAUGCAUGACAAACAGCGGAGAAUCAAACGGAUGGUUUGUUGAACUGAAGGUUGUGAGGAAGGACGUUUGUGUCUGUGCUUGAAGCGACAGCUUCAGUGUGAACGAAUGCAGAGCGACAGAGCUGUGCAAUUUCACUGAGACCCGGAGACGGACUCGGCUCAUGUAUGAAGCUGUAAGUGGCA